UACGUAGGGGGCAAGCGUUGUCCGGAAUUAUUGGGCGUAAAGCGCGCGCAGGCGGCCUUGUAAGUCUGUCGUUUAAACUCGGAGCUCAACUUCGAGUCGCGAUGGAAACUGCAAAGCUUGAGUGCAGAAGAGGAAAGUGGAAUUCCACGUGUAGCGGUGAAAUGCGUAGAGAUGUGGAGGAACACCAGUGGCGAGGGCGACUUUCUGGGCUGUAACUGACGCUGAGGCGCGAAAGCGUGGGGAGCAAACAGG
rnacentral:rRNA from 1 species